UACAGAGGGUGCGAGCGUUAAUCGGAAUUACUGGGCGUAAAGCGUGCGUAGACGGUAGCGUAAGUCAGAUGUGAAAGCCCCGGGCUCAACCUGGGAAUUGCAUUUGAGACUGCUCUGCUCGGGUGCGGAAGAGGGAAGCGGAAUUUCCGGUGUAGCGGUGAAAUGCGUAGAUAUUGGGAAGAACACCGGUGGCGAAGGCGGCUCACUGGCUCAUUACUGACGCUCAUGCGCGACAGCGUGGGGAUCAAACAGG
rnacentral:rRNA from 1 species